UGUUAUUCAUCUCUCCUGUGGCCAGACUUGGUUUCUUCUUCGCAUGUCCGUCGCCUCCUCUUCCCAUCACCAACUCACACAUAACAUCCCUGCAGUAACAAUAUAAAUAAUUUCAUCUUCUUCUCCAUUUUUGAUAAGUUUUACUUUUCUCUUUUAAUGCCAUACAACAUUUUUAUCCUUUUUAAUGCCAAUAGUAACCAACUUCGCCAACAACCACACUUCUCUUGAUUUACCAUUCUUCGAGAAUUCACUAUUGAAUUCUUACAAUUGCAGUAUAAUAUCUUCUCCAUGUAAUAAAAUAUUUUUUUAGAUUGUUGAAAAAUAUAUUUCAAGAACAAAAAAUAAUGAAGAAGAAUAUAAAGAUGAAGGUUUGACAAUAUAAAUAAUGAACACCAAUUUGAAGCUUGAAACACAUAUGAAAUUUGUUCCCUCUCCUCUGCGAGAUUGAUAUGAAAUUGUACUUAAAUAGAUUUAGUGGAUAUGACAAUUCUAUUAAAUUUUACAUUAAAUGUUGGAAAAUAUGUUUGAUACAAAAUAUAUGAAGAAGAACACAAGAUGAAGGGUUAAUAAUAUGAAUAAUAAAAUUGGGAUUUGAGGCUUGAAACACAUGUGAAACGCUUUUCUAAAAACGAUAUUUACUCCCCCUCCUAAAUGAGAUUGCUAUGGGAUUCUAUGCAAAUAGUUUUAGUGAAUAUGACAAAUCUUUGGAUUUCUGUACCAAGCAAAUAAUGAAGAUAAUCCUAUUGGAAAACAGGAAUUUGAACUUGAUCUUUUUGGAGAAGAAAGAAACUUUG
rnacentral:lncRNA from 1 species